GGCAUUUGUCGUAAUUCCACGAAAUUUCAGAUUUCAGCUGAAAAAAGUAUUAGUGCUCCAGCAGAACAGAGCAAUGAACAGUUUCAUCCUAAUCAGGCCGAAGGCCCACUGUUACAGAAUAAUGAUAUGUCGUACAAUCAACAGCCAUACAACCCGGCUUAUCAGAAUCCCUACCCCAAUCAAGGCCCUCCGCCACCAGGAUUCAAUACAGGCGACGGACAAAAUCAAAAUCAAGGUGGAGCCUAUUUCUCACCACCGCCACCAAUGCACGGAGCUAUGUUCAAUCAGAUGGAAAAUGGGCAACACGGUGGUGGAGACAAUCCAGAUGGAAAGUAUUCAUUCCAAUUUUCUGAUAAGACUGUCCGCGCUGCUUUCGUUCGAAAAGUUUUCAGUUUGGUCUUUAUCAUGCUUUGCAUCGUUGCCGCAGUCACUGUUAUCCCGUGGGUUCAUGAUGAUACGAUGAGAAUGGUCCGCAGAAAUUCGGCUCUCUACCUUGGGUCCUAUGUAAUCUUCUUCGUUACCUACUUGUCAUUGGUUUGCUGUGAAGGAGUUCGUCGUAAAUUCCCAGUUAAUUUGAUUGUCACUGGAAUCUUCACUCUAGCAACUUCAGUUAUGACCAUGGUCAUUUCAGCUCAUCAUGAUGCUAACGUGGUUCUUCUGGCAUUGGCGAUCUGCAUUGGAUGUACGUUCUCCAUUGUCAUUGUCGCCUCUCAGACGAAAUUCGAUUUGACUGCCCACAUGGGAUAUAUCUUAAUCAUCUCAAUGUGCUUCAUGUUCUUCGGACUUGUUGUCGUGAUCUGCUCAAUGUUCUUCAAGAUCAAGUUCUUGAUGAUGGUAUAUGCUCUCGGUGGUGCUCUUAUCAUGAUGCUCUACCUCUUCCUCGACGUUCAAAUGCUGAUGGGAGGAAAGAAAUACGAAAUCUCACCAGAAGAAUAUAUUUUUGCUUCUGUUCAAAUCUUCAUUGACAUUGUCCAGAUGUUCUGGUUCCUUCUCAGUUUGUUCGGAUCCAGUAAGAAAUUCAUUGGGAAACUUUGAAAUUUAGCUAGACAUUCUCAAUAAACCCUCUGGUUAUUUCCAGAAACUGAAUCUUCUAUUUCUCUAUCACAUUUCGUGUGGUAAGGCGGUUGAGUUUGUGGUAUUUCAAAAGGCACGUUUACUUUUUAGAUUUUUUUGUGUCAUUGUUCACUAACGCUGUAUUAGUAACAUUGUGCCAAUUUAAAUGAAUGUGUAUUAUCGAAAAAAUACGAUCGCACAAAUUUCUCAUAAUUUUUUUUUGAUCUACGCUGUUGACUAGGCUCCUCCCCCAAUCUUGUUGCCGCUGUUAUUUUGUU